rnacentral:rRNA from 1 species
UGGGGAAUUUUGCACAAUGGGGGAAACCCUGAUGCAGCGACGCCGCGUGAUUUAGAAGGCCUUCGGGUUGUAAAAAUCUUUUUUACGGGAUGAAAAUGACAGUACCGUAAGAAUAAGGUCCGGCUAAAUACGUGCCAGCAGCCGCGGUAAUACGUAUGGACCGAGCGUUGUCCGAAAUCAUUGGGCGUAAAGGGUACGUAGGCGGCCUAGUAAGUCGAAUGUUAAAGAUCGGGGCUCAACCCCGUAAAGCAUUGGAAACUGAUAAACUUGAGUAGUGGAGAGGAAAGUGGAAUUCCUAGUGUAGUGGUGAAAUCCGUAGAUAUUAGGAGGAAUACCAGUAGCGAAGGCGACUUUCUGGACACAAACUGACGCUGAGGUACGAAAGCGUGGGGAGCAAACAGG